GGAAACCGUCUAAAAUUUAACUAAAAUGCUAGAAUUGUGAAGAUGUCAGUAAUUUAGCAUGACUUAAUGGUGCUAGUACCCGAUAUAUGUGCAUUGUAUUGUCAAAAACAGCCCAUAUUUAUGUAGCAGAAGCAUUGUACUGUCCAAUAAAUAACUUAAAGUUUGCAUUUUAACAAUUUUGUAAAAUUGCUAUAUUUUGGGGC
rnacentral:lncRNA from 1 species